AGCAGCCGCGGUAAUUCCAGCUCCAAUAGCGUAUAUUAAAGUUGUUGCAGUUAAAAAGCUCGUAGUUGAAUUUCGGGAUUGACGUGAUGGUCGUGCCUUAAGGGGUAUGAACUGUCGCAGUUGAUUUCUCACCUUCUGGAGAAGCAUGAUGUCCUUAAUUGGGUGUCAUGUGGAACCAGGACCUUUACCUUGAAAAACUUAGAGUGUUUAAAGCAGGCAUUUUGCUCGAAUACAUUAGCAUGGAAUAAUAGAAUAGGACGGCAUGGUUCUAUUUUGUUGGUUUCUAGGAUCACCGUAAUGAUUAAUAGGGAUAGUUGGGGGCAUUAGUAUUCAAUUGUCAGAGGUGAAAUUCUUGGAUUUAUUGAAGACUAACUACUGCGAAAGCAUUUGCCAAGGAUGUUUUCAUUAAUCAAGAACGAAAGUUAGGGGAUCGAAGACGAUCAGAUACCGUCGUAGUCUUAACCAUAAACUAUGCCGACUAGGAAUCAGACGAUGUUAAUUUUUUAAAUGACUUCG
rnacentral:rRNA from 1 species